rnacentral:rRNA from 1 species
GAAAUAGCUACCACUUCUACGGAGGGCAGCAGGCGCGCAAAUUGCCCAAUGUCAAAAAAAAACGAUGAGGCAGCGAAAAGAAAUAGAGCCGACAGUGCAUUUUGUAUUGUCGUUUUCAAUGGGGGAUAUUUAAACCCAUCCAAAAUCGGGUAACAAUUGGAGGACAAGUCUGGUGCCGGCACCCGCGGUAAUUCCAGCUCCAAAAGCGUAUAUUAAUGCUGUUGCUGUUAAAGGGUUCG